AUCGAGAUGAUGAGUUGUAAAUAAGACGAAAUGCUCAUCUUCGAU
rnacentral:hammerhead_ribozyme from 1 species